GCUGUGAUGGCCGAGUGGUUAAGGCAUUGGACUUGAAAUCAAAUGGGUCUCCUUGUGUGGGUUUUAACCCUGCUUGCAGCA
rnacentral:tRNA from 1 species